rnacentral:sRNA from 1 species
AUAUCUCCGUACGGGGGAAGGAUGAGAAGUUUCGACUAAGGUUCGAUUCGAGCGCAGUGAGAAAGCGUUGCUGCAGGCAACGACCCGAAGGGCGAAGCGCGCGCAGCGCUGAGUCAUCCUUCCCCACCACCA